AUUGAACGCUGGCGGCAGGCCUAACACAUGCAAGUCGAACGAGUGGCAGACGGGUGAGUAAUGUCUGGGAAACUGCCCGAUGGAGGGGGAUAACUACUGGAAAAGGUCGCUAAUACCGCAUACCAUCGGAUGUGCCCAGAGGGGAUUAGCUAGUAGGUGGGGUAACGGCUCCUCUAGGCGACGAUCCCUAGCUGGUCUGAGAGGAUGCACAGCCACAUUGGAACUGAGACACGGUCCAGACUCCUACGGGAGGCAGCAGUGGGGAAUAUUGCAAAAUGGGCGCAAGCCUGAUGCAGCCAUGCCGCGUGUAUGAAGAAGGCCUUCGGGUUGUAAAGUACUUUCAGCGAGGAGGCGUUACUCGCAGAAGAAGCACCGGCUAACUCCGGGCCAGCAGCCGCGGUAAUAC
rnacentral:rRNA from 1 species